GACGAACGCUGGCGGCGUGCUUAACACAUGCAAGUCGAACGGAAAGGCCCCUUUGGGGGUACUCGAGUGGCGAACGGGUGAGUAACACGUGAGUAACCUGCCCUUGACUUCGGGAUAACUUCAGGAAACUGGGGCUAAUACCGGAUAGGAAUCCUUGCUGCAUGGUGGGGGUUGGAAAGCUUCGGCGGUUUUGGAUGGACUCGCGGCUUAUCCGCUUGUUGGUGGGGUAGUGGCUUACCAAGGCUUUGACGGGUAGCCGGCCUGAGAGGGCGACCGGCCACAUUGGGACUGAGAUACGGCCCAGACUCCGACGGGAGGCAGCAGUGGGGAAUAUUGCACAAUGGGCGGAAGCCUGAUGCAGCAACGCCGCGUGCGGGAGGACGGCCUUAGGGUUGUAAACCGCUGUCAGCAGGGGCGAAGCUUGUGGUGACGGUACCUGCAGAAGAAGCACCGGCUAACUACGUG
rnacentral:rRNA from 1 species